GCAGACACAUUCCAGCCAAUCAGCAGCAGUCUCUCCGUCCCAGACCCUCCCACCUCCUGGACAGCAUCCAUUGUGAAGCUGCAUUCUUAGUGAGCUGUCCAGGAGGUGGGAGGGUCUGGGAGGGAGGGUCUGUUGCUGAUUGGUUGAAAUGUGUCUG